GACGAACGCUGGCGGCGUGCUUAACACAUGCAAGUCGAACGAAGUGGCGAACGGGUGAGUAACGCGUAAUCAACCUGCCCUUCAGAGGGGGACAACAGUUGGAAACGACUGCUAAUACCGCAUACUGAAGGAGGGGAUUGCGUCUGAUUAGCUAGUUGGAGGGGUAACGGCCCACCAAGGCGAGGAUCAGUAGCCGGUCUUGGGGGGUGAACGGCCACAAUUGGACUGGGGCACGGCCCAGACUCCUACGGGAGGCAGCAGUGGGGAAUCUUCCGCAAUGGAGGGAAGUCUUACGGAGCAACGCCGCGGGAGUGAUGGCGGCCUUCGGGUUGUAAAGCUCUGUUAAUCGGGGCGCGGUACCGGAAUAGAAAGCCACGGCUAACUACGUGCCAGCAGCCGCGGUAAUUC
rnacentral:rRNA from 1 species